AUUGGAGCAGCUUCCAUCUGUCCUGGAGAGCCUUUUUCAUGAUCGUCCGAUCAUCAAGCAUAAUCGCCUCUACUUCGUAUCAGCUCAUGAACAGCCCGAUCAACCUUUCAGAAGUUGGAGCGCUCUUUACUCCAUCGAUCUUAAUCAUCAAAAGAAGGAUGUUACUCGUUUGACCCCUCAUGGAGUUGUUGAUUACAGUCCCGCUAUUUCUUCUAGUGGGAAAUUCGUAGCUGUUGCAUCUUAUGGGUCUCGUCCUUGGGGUGGCGAAUUUCAUGAGCUCUAUACGGAUAUAGUCGUUUUCAAAGAAAGCAAUCCGGAUAAACGAGUGGUGGUUUGUGAAAGAGGUGGAUGGCCCACCUGGUCAGGUGACUCGACGAUUUAUUUCCACCGUCAAGCUGAUGAUGGGUGGUGGAGUAUUUUCCAGGUAAAUUUCCCUGAAGAUGUCCACUUCUCCGGGUUUCCAAACGCUGCUCUUAGGGUUACUCCGCCAGGGGUUCAUUGCUUUACUCCUGCGGCCUUCCAGGAUGGUAAAAGAAUUGCCGUAGCGACUCGGCGGCACAACAACAAUUAUAGGCACAUCGAGAUAUUUGAUCUUGCGUCAAGGACUUUAUAUCCGGUGACUGAAUCACUGAAUCCGACUUUCCAUCAUUACAACCCCUUUGUUUCUCCAGACUCCUCUCUUCUCGGGUAUCACCGGUUUAGAGGUGAAUCAACUCCCGGCGAGUCAAGGAUUCCAAAUCUUGAACCGAUUAUGUCUCCAAUCAAAGAUCUAAGGAUGCUGAGAAACAACGGAUCAUUUCCCUCAUUUUCCCCUGCCGGUGAUCUCAU
rnacentral:misc_RNA from 1 species